rnacentral:tRNA from 1 species
UCCCUGGUGAUCCAGUGGUUAUGACAUGGCACUUUUACUACUAGGGCCCAGGUUCAAUUCAUGGUCAGGGAA